UGCCAGCCGCCGCGGUAAUACGGGGGGUGCAAGCGUUAUUCGGAAUCAUUGGGCGUAAAGAGCACGUAGGCGGCUUGGUAAGUCAGAUGUGAAAGCCCGGGGCUUAACCCCGGAAGUGCAUUUGAUACUGUCAAGCUUGAGUAUGGGAGAGGGAAGUGGAAUUCCUGGUGUAGAGGUGAAAUUCGUAGAUAUCAGGAGGAACACCGGUGGCGAAGGCGACUUCCUGGACCAAUACUGACGCUGAGGUGCGAAGGCGUGGGUAGCAAACAGGAUUAGAUA
rnacentral:rRNA from 1 species